UUUUGGGGUCAUAUAGUGUUCAAAUCAAUCACUUCCACAAUGAAUUCUGGUUUGCUAAAGCAGCUUGACUUUGAUGAUUUGCUUUUGCUGCCGGUUGAUAUGGAUCCUUCUACAUGUCAUGAAAAAUUAUUAAGUUGCUGGCAAGAUCAGCAAAAUAAUUCUUGCUGAAAUGCAUCAUUAUUUAGAGCAAUCUCCUAUGCAUAUGGAUGGCCAUAUCUUCGUCUAGGUUUAUUAAAGGUUUUUAAUGAUUUCAUUGGUUUUACUGGACCACUGCUUCUGAAUAAGCUAAUUCGGUUUCUUCAACAAGGUUCUGGAAAUUUGGAUGGCUAUGUUCUUGCAACAUCGUUAGGCCUAGUAU